ACAGAGAAGGCGGCAAGGAUGUGCAAGGUGGCCCUGUGGUGCGUGCAGUACCGGCCGGAGGACAGACCGUCCAUGGGCAAUGUCGUGCGGAUGCUGGAGGGGGAGGAGCAGAUCGCCACGCCGGGCAACCCGUUCGCGCACCUCGCGGCGUAUAGCGCCGGCGCGACGAUGACCGAUGGCACCACCACGGAGUCCUACGGUUCUUCAGCUUUCACCCGCGGGUAGAUGAUGAUGGUUCUCAGAGAAAAACCAGGAGUUUAUGAUCCCAGCUCAGAAAACAAAUUAGUUAAAUUGAAGAAAGAAACAAAACAUUUUUUGCAACAAACAUGGGGCUACUACGGGUCCACCUAAACAUCCGUCACCUCGACGGCCGUCUGAUCCGUUCAUGCGAACCACGUGCGGGGCUCUGGCCGGCACCUAGUGAUUCGUGAAACUACGGUCGAGUUGCAGAAAAAAUCAUUUUAUUGCAAAAAAUAAACUUUGAACCCAUUAAUUCCUGAAACAAAGGUCGAGCUUCACAAACAAUCGCUUUGUUGUAGAUUUUUUUUUCGUCGUCUUUCUGCAACAACGGCCGUGCUGUAGAAACAAUUCCUAAAACAACAAACGGGUUGCAGAAACAAGUCCCGAAAAAACGAACAGGUUGCACAAAUAAUUUCUCCAACUACUGCAACAACAGCCGCGUUGCAGAAACAACGACCACGUUGCAGAAAACUGAAGAGGGGAUGAAUGACUGCAAGAUUAGAGGAGAGGGAGAGGAAGCAGAGGGGAAGAGACGCCUCAUCUUCCGAUGAGCUCUCCUCGGAUGCCCUAGCGCCAUGGACACGUCCAGCUCUUGCAGGAGCUUGAUCCAACCAGCGCCCGAUUGCUCCUCCCGCGGCGCGAGGUCCCACCCACCCAACCGGAUGCCUAGCUGCUCCAGCAGCCGUGGUCAUGGCGCCGGGGCGUCCGUGCCUUCCUGCGAGAUGAGAGAUAUGGAUGAGAGGGUGGGCUCACAAGAGGAAGAUUGGGGAGAUAAAAACGAGCUGGCCCGCAGGGACACGCAUCGCAAGCAUGAGGAGGCGGAUGAGCGGUGAAAAAUCGGCCGUUUGAACCAGAUCUUUUCCCUUAAUUUUUUUAGAAAAAUACUCAUCUAUUUUUGGGCUGUAUUCAGGCAUUAAAGUAAAUAUUCAUGUACUUACUUUAUGAGAAAUAUUAUUACUUAAAAUAAUGUAAUUCCAAAAAAUAUAUAAACAUUAUUUCAAAAAUAUUAUGUAAUUUCAAUAGUAAUAUAAAUUAUAAUGAUAUAUGUGAAUUAAAAAUACGAUCAUUGUAAAUAUGAGCCGUGGUCAUUGGAGUUCAUUUAAGACCCAUCUCGGUCAUUAGGAUGUUUUUUUCGCAAAAAACUCAGGUUGCACGUCAUGACCGCCUUUUCCGUCACUGAUAUUUGGUGUCAUGUCAUGUUGGCUUGCCUCGUCAGCAUGUGAUACGUAUAUAAAACGUGAUCAACAGUGUAGAUGAACGUUUAAACUAAAUUUAUCAUCGGUUCAAUGUAUAUCCCAAGUUUUAAAACUACUUUUCUUGCCAGCUUCCUACUUGUAAACUGAAAACAGAGGAAGCCUUCGAAUGGAGCCCCACGCGUGAUAACAAAAUGUACAUACCCUAUGCCGUGGAACUAGGCUGAAAAACACAACCCCUACGUGGAAGCAAAACGACCAUCACCACCUAACACAACCUCCACCCAAAGCUAUUCGUCGCAUUGUAAGCUAUGUUAGUUUCAAGACAGGAGUAUUGGAUAGCUGAUACUGAGAAAGCUGCGUGUUUUCGAGACGGGAGAACCGGAGAAGAGGAAUAUGGGGGGAGGUAUUAGCUGUCUCCCUCGCUAACAAAUUAAAACUAAUACACUCGCUCUUAUCAUACAAGAGGUAGCCAACGGGUUAGUAAUCGUCGGUCUCACCAUCGGAACUGAUACACAUUUUUUGACCAAAUCGUGUAGAAUAAAAUGGGCAUAUUCGAUUGCUUAAUCCCUGCAGGAGUUGCUAUUGGGUAUUGGCUAUACAUUUUCAAGACAUACGUGUCAGAUCAUCCACACGGUUGACAAUAGAGGACCAAUCAAAAUGCCCAACGGAACAUCAAUUAAUGGUGUAUGUACGCUAGACAUUUGAUCAGCUCCAACCAUCAUUCUUUCCUGCGUUACAUUUAAGUCAAUUACCCUGGUGGGCUGAUCAAACAUGGCGCUUAGCAGUGGUGCCACUCUAGCCUUAGCAAUCAGUAAGUAUGAUGACAUGCAUAUGUGGUUGAACUUUCGCUUCCCAAAUCGCUUCCGAAUCCUGAAAGUUUUGGCUACCAUUUUGCAGUUGCAGUGAUCACGGCUGGCAUAAUAACAGUGGUCGCUAUAGUUGCGAUAUACCAAUGCGCCAGAGCCAAGUACAGCAUGGAAAGGUAUUUGCAGAUGCAGCAGGAAGGCAGAGGUGAUCGCCGGCACGCGUCCAUCGCCUACCGUGACGGAGGGCACACGCCGAGGGUCGUCCAGAACGAGGCCGACGACGUCGAGAUGGGGAGCAUGAGCUUCUUCAUCGAGGGCGUCCAGAACGAGCGGCCUGUCCGCUUCAGCUCGCAGCAGCUGCGGGGCUUCACCCAGGGCUUCGCGCACAAGGUCGGCUCCGGCGGCUUCGGCGUCGUGUACAUGGGCAGGUUCCCCAACGGCACGCCGGUGGCCGUGAAGGUCCUCAACAGCACGCUCGGGAGGCGCGCGGAGGAGCAGUUCAUGGCGGAGGUGGGCACCAUCGGGAGGACCUACCACAUCAACCUCGUCCGCCUCUACGGCUUCUGCUUCGACGCCGCGGUGAAGGCGCUCGUGUAUGAGUACAUGGUGAACGGCUCGCNGAACUAGGCUGAAAAACACAACCCCUACGUGGAAGCAAAACGACCAUCACCACCUAACACAACCUCCACCCAAAGCUAUUCGUCGCAUUGUAAGCUAUGUUAGUUUCAAGACAGGAGUAUUGGAUAGCUGAUACUGAGAAAGCUGCGUGUUUUCGAGACGGGAGAACCGGAGAAGAGGAAUAUGGGGGGAGGUAUUAGCUGUCUCCCUCGCUAACAAAUUAAAACUAAUACACUCGCUCUUAUCAUACAAGAGGUAGCCAACGGGUUAGUAAUCGUCGGUCUCACCAUCGGAACUGAUACACAUUUUUUGACCAAAUCGUGUAGAAUAAAAUGGGCAUAUUCGAUUGCUUAAUCCCUGCAGGAGUUGCUAUUGGGUAUUGGCUAUACAUUUUCAAGACAUACGUGUCAGAUCAUCCACACGGUUGACAAUAGAGGACCAAUCAAAAUGCCCAACGGAACAUCAAUUAAUGGUGUAUGUACGCUAGACAUUUGAUCAGCUCCAACCAUCAUUCUUUCCUGCGUUACAUUUAAGUCAAUUACCCUGGUGGGCUGAUCAAACAUGGCGCUUAGCAGUGGUGCCACUCUAGCCUUAGCAAUCAGUAAGUAUGAUGACAUGCAUAUGUGGUUGAACUUUCGCUUCCCAAAUCGCUUCCGAAUCCUGAAAGUUUUGGCUACCAUUUUGCAGUUGCAGUGAUCACGGCUGGCAUAAUAACAGUGGUCGCUAUAGUUGCGAUAUACCAAUGCGCCAGAGCCAAGUACAGCAUGGAAAGGUAUUUGCAGAUGCAGCAGGAAGGCAGAGGUGAUCGCCGGCACGCGUCCAUCGCCUACCGUGACGGAGGGCACACGCCGAGGGUCGUCCAGAACGAGGCCGACGACGUCGAGAUGGGGAGCAUGAGCUUCUUCAUCGAGGGCGUCCAGAACGAGCGGCCUGUCCGCUUCAGCUCGCAGCAGCUGCGGGGCUUCACCCAGGGCUUCGCGCACAAGGUCGGCUCCGGCGGCUUCGGCGUCGUGUACAUGGGCAGGUUCCCCAACGGCACGCCGGUGGCCGUGAAGGUCCUCAACAGCACGCUCGGGAGGCGCGCGGAGGAGCAGUUCAUGGCGGAGGUGGGCACCAUCGGGAGGACCUACCACAUCAACCUCGUCCGCCUCUACGGCUUCUGCUUCGACGCCGCGGUGAAGGCGCUCGUGUAUGAGUACAUGGUGAACGGCUCGCUGGACCGGCACCUGUUCGGCUCGGCGCCGGAGAAGCGCACCCUCGGGUUCGAGAAGCUCCACGAGAUCGCCGUCGGGACGGCCAAGGCCGUGCGCUACCUGCACGAGGAGUGCCAGCACCGGAUCAUCCACUACGACAUCAAGCCGGAGAAUGUGCUGCUCGGGGCCGACAUGGCCCCCAAGGUGUCCGACUUUGGGCUCGCCAAGCUGUGCGACAGGGAGGACACCCACCUGACCAUCACGGGCGCGCGGGGCACGCCCGGGUACGCGGCGCCGGAGCUAUGGAUGCCGUUGCCGGUCACGCAAAAGUGCGACGUGUACAGCUACGGGAUGCUGCUGUUCGAGAUGCUCGGGCGGCGGAGGAACCUGGAGCUCGGGCUGCACAGCCGCGAGAGCCAGGAGUGGUACCCGCGGUGGGUGUGGCACCGGUUCGAGGCCGGCGAGAUGGACGCCGUGCUGGCGCGCGCAAUGGCCGCGGGGGACCUGGACGACACAGAGAAGGCGGCAAGGAUGUGCAAGGUGGCCCUGUGGUGCGUGCAGUACCGGCCGGAGGACAGACCGUCCAUGGGCAAUGUCGUGCGGAUGCUGGAGGGGGAGGAGCAGAUCGCCACGCCGGGCAACCCGUUCGCGCACCUCGCGGCGUAUAGCGCCGGCGCGACGAUGACCGAUGGCACCACCACGGAGUCCUACGGUUCUUCAGCUUUCACCCGCGG
rnacentral:lncRNA from 1 species